GGCGGCGUGCCUAAUACAUGCAAGUCGAACGGACAAGUAAGAGCUUGCUCUUAUGAGUUAGUGGCGCACGGGUGAGUAAUGUAUAGUUAAUCUGCCCUACACUGGAGGACAACAGUUAGAAAUGACUGCUAAUACUCCAUACUCCUUCUUAGCACAAGUUAAGUCGGGAAAGUUUUUUCGGUGUAGGAUGAGACUAUAUUGUAUCAGCUAGUUGGUAAGGUAAUGGCUUACCAAGGCUAUGACGCAUAACUGGUCUGAGAGGAUGAUCAGUCACACUGGAACUGAGACACGGUCCAGACUCCUACGGGAGGCAGCAGUAGGGAAUAUUGCUCAAUGGGGGAAACCCUGAAGCAGCAACGCCGCGUGGAGGAUGACACUUUUCGGAGCGUAAACUCCUUUUCUUAGGGAAGAACAAUGACGGUACCUAAGGAAUAAGCACCGGCUAACUCCGUGCCAGCAGCCGCGGUAAUACGGAGGGUGCAAGCGUUACUCGGAAUCACUGGGCGUAAAGGACGCGUAGGCGGAUUAUCAAGUCUUUUGUGAAAUCUAAUGGCUUAACCAUUAAACUGCUUGAGAAACUGAUAAUCUAGAGUGAGGGAGAGGCAGAUGGAACUGGUGGUGUAGGGGUAAAAUCCGUAGAGAUCACCAAGAAUACCCAUUGCGAAGGCGAUCUGCUAGAACUCAACUGACGCUAAUGCGUGAAAGCGUGGGGAGCAAACAGGAUUAGAUACCCUGGUAGUCCACGCCCUAAACGAUGCAUACUAGUUGUUGCUCUGCUAGUCAGGGCAGUAAUUCAGCUAACGCAUUAAGUAUGCCGCCUGGGGAGUACGGUCGCAAGAUUAAAACUCAAAGGAAUAGACGGGGACCCGCACAAGCGGUGGAGCAUGUGGUUUAAUUCGAAGAUACGCGAAGAACCUUACCUGGGCUUGAUAUCCUAAGAACCUCUUAGAGAUAAGAGGGUGCUAGCUUGCUAGAACUUAGAGACAGGUGCUGCACGGCUGUCGUCAGCUCGUGUCGUGAGAUGUUCGGUUAAGUCCGGCAACGAGCGCAACCCACGUAUUUAGUUGCUAACAGUUUGGCUGAGCACUCUAAAUAUACUGCCUUCGUAAGGAGGAGGAAGGUGUGGACGACGUCAAGUCAUCAUGGCCCUUAUGCCCAGGGCGACACACGUGCUACAAUGGCAUAUACAAUGAGACGCAAUACCGCGAGGUGGAGCAAAUCUAUAAAAUAUGUCCCAGUUCGGAUUGUUCUCUGCAACUCGAGAGCAUGAAGCCGGAAUCGCUAGUAAUCGUAGAUCAGCCAUGCUACGGUGAAUACGUUCCCGGGUCUUGUACUCACCGCCCGUCACACCAUGGGAGUUGAUUUCACUCGAAGCCCAAAUACCAAACUGGUUAUGGUCCACAGUGGAAUCAGCGACUG
rnacentral:rRNA from 1 species